UCAUGUCGUGUCACACCCGUUAUCUUAACGUGUCCUUAACAGGGUAAAGUAACCCAACAUGUUAUGACCCAUUAUAACCCGUUAAGAAAAAUAUUUUUUUUCUUCUUAAAAUUGCACAUACCACACAUUGCCACAUAAAUAUUACUUCAAAACAUUAAAAUACAUUUGUCGUUUAAGUGUUACAUCUACACUUGAAAAUAAGAGUCUAAUAAACAAACAUCCAUACACUAUUAGUCUAUUACAAAAUAUUAAAUGUGCAAGGAUAUGCAAAAUGAAAGAGUUUUUGUUUUCAAGGUUGUGAAGCCUUUCUCAAAAGUUUAAACCUUGCCAAUGGAACUCAAAGCUUGCAUGUUAUUCCGUUUACAAAAUCCUCAAUUUCAUCGAUCAUCAUGAUGGGAAAUAUAUAAGCACACAAAUUAAACCCUCUUUGUAUCAAUUGUAGUAAAGUAUGUAAGUAGGGAUCGUUCUAGGCCGGGGAUUAGGAGGGAUUGCUAA
rnacentral:lncRNA from 1 species